rnacentral:rRNA from 1 species
UACGAAGGGGACUAGCGUUGUUCGGAAUUACUGGGCGUAAAGCGCGCGUAGGCGGAUCGCUAAGCCAGGGGUGAAAUCCCAGGGCUCAACCCUGGAACUGCCUUUGAUACUGACGAUCUGGAGAUCGGGAGAGGUUGGUGGAAUUCCGAGUGUAGAGGUGAAAUUCGUAGAUAUUCGGAGGAACACCAGAAGCGAAGGCGGCCAACUGGCCCGAUACUGACGCUGAGGCGCGAAAGCGUGGGGAGCAAACAGG